rnacentral:tRNA from 1 species
GCCCAGGUGGUGGAAUUGGUAUACACGUACGUUUAAGGGGCGUAUGGGGUAACCCUUGCGGGUUCAAGUCCCGCCCUGGGCACAA